UGCAAGCGUUACUCGGACUUACUGGGCGUAAAGGGUGCGUAGGCGGUUCGUUAAGUCUGUCGUGAAAUCCCCGGGCUCAACCUGGGAAUGGCGAUGGAUACUGGCGAGCUAGAGUGUGUCAGAGGAUGGUGGAAUUCCCGGUGUAGCGGUGAAAUGCGUAGAGAUCGGGAGGAACACCGGUGGCGAAGGCGGCCCGCUGGGCUGUUGCUGACGCUGAGGCGCGACAGCGUGGGGAGCAAACAGG
rnacentral:rRNA from 1 species